GACAGAGGGUGCAAACGUUGUUCGGAAUUACUGGGCGUAAAGCGCGUGUAGGCGGCUAAGUAAGUCGGGCGUGAAAUCCCACGGCUCAACCGUGGAAGUGCACUCGAAACUGCAUAGCUAGAGUCCUGGAGAGGAAGGUGGAAUGCUUGGUGUAGAGGUGAAAUUCGUAGAUAUCAAGCGGAACACCGGUGGCGAAGGCGGCCUCUGGACAGUGACUGACGCUGAGACGCGAAAGCGUGGGGAGCGAACAGG
rnacentral:rRNA from 1 species